CUUCGACGAAGAAACAGAAAGACGAGGAGGUAUGGGGUUCUGGACACAAACAUAGAAAAUACAGAGCUGACGCCAUUGGAACAAGAUGAUGACGACGAUGACACAACACUCUUUGAUGCCAAUCAUCCUCGAAGAUAAGUAUGUGCCUUUUGGGAGAAUAUUUCAAUUGUGGAGCAACGAAAGAAGGCUGUACAGAAGGAAUAAGAAGCCAAUAUCAGGGUUGGGGG